GAUAGAGGCCCUGUGAUAGAAGCAUUAGUAGCCCGUACACUUCGUCAGGUGGAGUCCACACAGUCUAUGAUAAGGAUAGUGGGCCUUUCAGCCACAUUACCCAACUAUUUGGAGGUUGCACAGUUUCUAAGGGUGAAUUCAGAGACAGGCUUAUUUUUCUUUGAUUCGAGCUACCGUCCAGUACCUCUUGCACAGCAGUAUAUUGGUAUUAGUGAGCAUAACUUUUUAGCCCGCAAUGAACUGCUUAAUGAGAUAUGCUACAAUAAGGUUGUUGAUUCCCUAAAACAAGGGCACCAGGCUAUGGUUUUUGUC
rnacentral:misc_RNA from 1 species